GAUGAACGCUAGCGGCAGGCUUAAUACAUGCAAGUCGAACGGUAAGGUCUCUUCGGAGAUACACGAGUGGCGCACGGGUGCGUAACGCGUAUGCAACCUACCUUUGACCGGGGAAUAGUCUCGAGAAAUCGGGCAUAAUACCCCAUAAUAUUCAGAAGGCACCUGUUUUUUGAAUCAAAGUUCCGGCGGUUAAAGAUGGGCAUGCGUGGCAUUAGCUAGUUGGUAAGGUAACGGCUUACCAAGGCGAUGAUGCCUAGGGGUUCUGAGAGGAUAUACCCCCACACUGGUACUGAGACACGGACCAGACUCCUACGGGAGGCAGCAGUAAGGAAUAUUGGGCAAUGGACGCAAGUCUGACCCAGCCAUGCCGCGUGCAGGAUGACUGCCCUAUGGGUUGUAAACUGCUUUUAUACGGGAAAAAAUGUCCGACGAGUUCGGAAGCUGAUGGUACCGUAUGAAUAAGCAUCGGCUAACUCCGUGCCAGCAGCCGCGGUAAU
rnacentral:rRNA from 1 species